CAACUUUUAGCAACGGAUCUCUUGGCUCUCGCAUCGAUGAAGAACGCAGCGAAAUGCGAUAAGUAAUGUGAAUUGCAGAAUUCAGUGAAUCAUCGAAUCUUUGAACGCACCUUGCGCUCUUUGGUAUUCCGAAGAGCAUGCCUGUUUGAGUGUCAUUA
rnacentral:rRNA from 1 species